GUAGUCCUAGUUGCCAUUGUUAACUGAAGACCCUGGCUUGGUCCCUCCCAAGCCUCAGUAAGAUUAAGGUCGGUCAGACUGGUAGAUUGGACUGAAUCCUUGGCCCAAGGUUUCCAUAAUAACUGAACUUUUGAAAAUAUCUAAAUUGCCAAAUACUGUUAAAUCUUCAAAUUAUAUCAUCACAUGUAUAUUUUCAAAACUAUGGAAAUUAAUGUACAUGAUUUAACUGAAUUAUAUAAUAUUCUGUG